rnacentral:rRNA from 1 species
ACUCCACAUACGCAUCCUUUGCUGAGGAUACGGUUAACGGAGCGAAAGCGACGUUCAACCUCAAAAGAAGCAGAGGGGGCUUAGUGGUGGGGUGACUGCGUACCUUUUGUAUAAUGGGUCAGCGACUUAUAUUCUGUAGCAAGGUUAACCGAAUAGGGGAGCCGGAGGGAAACCGAGUCUUAACCGGGCGUUAAGUUGCAGGGUAUAGACCCGAAACCCGGUGAUCUAGCCAUGGGCAGGUUGAAGGUUGGGUAACACUAACUGGAGGACCGAACCGACUAAUGUUGAAAAAUUAGCGGAUGACCUGUGGCUGGGGGUGAAAGGCCAAUCAAACCGGGAGAUAGCUGGUUCUCCCCGAAAGCUAUUUAGGUAGCGCCUCGUGAAUUCAUCUCCGGGGGUAGAGCACUGUUUCGGCUAGGGGGUCAUCCCGACUUACCAACCCGAUGCAAACUGCGAAUACCGGAGAAUGUUAUCACGGGAGACACACGGCGGGUGCUAACGUCCGUCGUGAAGAGGGAAACAACCCAGACCGCCAGCUAAGGUCCCAAAGUCAUGGUUAAGUGGGAAACGAUGUGGGAAGGCCCAGACAGCCAGGAUGUUGGCUUAGAAGCAGCCAUCAUUUAAAGAAAGCGUAAUAGCUCACUGGUCGAGUCGGCCUGCGCGGAAGAUGUAACGGGGCUAAACCAUGCACCGAAGCUGCGGCAGCGAACGUAUCACCCAAGACAACUUUACGGAGUUGACGAUUGAUGGAGCGAAGCGACGUCAAAGCGUUCAUUAAAGUCGAGUUGGCUUAGGGAUACGUUCGUUGGGUAGGGGAGCGUUCUGUAAGCCUGUGAAGGUGGCCUGUGAGGGUUGCUGGAGGUAUCAGAAGUGCGAAUGCUGACAUAAGUAACGAUAAAGCGGGUGAAAAGCCCGCUCGCCGGAAGACCAAGGGUUCCUGUCCAACGUUAAUCGGGGCAGGGUGAGUCGACCCCUAAGGCGAGGCCGAAAGGCGUAGUCGAUGGGAAACGGGUUAAUAUUCCCGUACUUGGUGUUACUGCGAAGGGGGGACGGAGAAGGCUAUGUUGGCCGGGCGACGGUUGUCCCGGUUUAAGCGUGUAGGUGUGUGUUCCAGGUAAAUCCGGUUCACUUUAACACUGAGGCGUGAUGACGAGGCACUACGGUGCUGAAGCAACAAAUGCCCUGCUUCCAGGAAAAGCCUCUAAGCAUCAGGUAACAUCAAAUCGUACCCCAAACCGACACAGGUGGUCAGGUAGAGAAUACCAAGGCGCUUGAGAGAACUCGGGUGAAGGAACUAGGCAAAAUGGUGCCGUAACUUCGGGAGAAGGCACGCUGACACGUAGGUGAAGUGAUUUACUCAUGGAGCUGAAGUCAGUCGAAGAUACCAGCUGGCUGCAACUGUUUAUUAAAAACACAGCACUGUGCAAACACGAAAGUGGACGUAUACGGUGUGACGCCUGCCCGGUGCCGGAAGGUUAAUUGAUGGGGUCAGCGCAAGCGAAGCUCCUGAUCGAAGCCCCGGUAAACGGCGGCCGUAACUAUAACGGUCCUAAGGUAGCGAAAUUCCUUGUCGGGUAAGUUCCGACCUGCACGAAUGGCGUAAUGAUGGCCAGGCUGUCUCCACCCGAGACUCAGUGAAAUUGAACUCGCUGUGAAGAUGCAGUGUACCCGCGGCAAGACGGAAAGACCCCGUGAACCUUUACUAUAGCUUGACACUGAACAUUGAGCCUUGAUGUGUAG